CCACCAGGAACAACGCACAGAGACAGGGGUCGCGGGAUGGGAUGGUUGUCUGGAAUGAGACAAAAAGGAAACAGGGAUGACUCUUGGAGAGGGGAACUGGCAAACCAAGAUGACCGGUCUCCAUACCCCUGAACCUCUCUCUCUCCAAGACCCAACCAAUGGGAAUCAUUUUCACCAGUAAUAUUGUACGACCUGUUCUGAAAUCUUCAAAUGAAGCAAGCUGUUCAAGUGGAGUCUCA